rnacentral:lncRNA from 1 species
CAUGAUGGGCCUGUUCCUUCACCACUUGCCGUCACCCUGUGGGGUGGGUGUUGAGUUUCUUCUUCAUCACCUUGGUCAGUGCUGCAUGUUACUGUGUAGCCCUUGGUUGCUUCUCUCCCCUACCAGUGCCCAGAGGGCAUGAGCUCUCUUUUGUACUCUGUUAUAUCUCCAGUUCCUGGGGGUAGGCACCUGAUAAAAAUUUAGGGAAUGCAUACAUAGCCUAGAGGCCAAUUUCCCCUUUAGAUGUUGACUGUCCCUUUUCUCCAAGUAGGGAGAGUGGUGACGGGGCGUGGAGAGGCAGAGGGGAGAGAAGGAGCAGUGUUACCAGCGAGUCUGUCUGGCAAUGAUAUCUGCCUCAACCCCUUUUUGUCCCAGCGGUGUAGACGCAGGUCAGAUGACUUUCCAACUCUAUGCGGCUCUUGCCUGUCCCUCCAUCCCUGCUGCGGUGAACCUCUCAUCUGAGCCUCCCCAACAGUUUGUGCAAAGACUCCACUUAACGUUGGUCUGUUGACUGUCACGGGCAUCUGUGAGCCUCCUGUGCCUUCUUGUUUAACAACGAUCUCAGCUUGUGGCGAGGGAGUGGUGAUGGCACAGGGUAGAGCUGCCAGAGGGGUCAGCUUGGCCUGGGUUCGGGCUCAGGAGUGCCAGCUUCCUCGAGGAGUGGGAGGUCGGUCAUGCAAGGGAGAGCGUUGAGCCCAGGCCCCAGGAUAACUGAGACUGUUUGGAGGUGGUGUCCCCAACCCUCGCUUACGUGGGCGGGUCUCAGCGGGGCGAGGCUUAGCUUGCCUGCUGAGCCCUGCAAAUGCAGGUGAGGCGGCUCAAGCGUUUCCACCUGGACUGGCGUGGCGCUCAGGCCUCUGCGUCUCUCUCUUCCCGUGUAUGCAGAGUCAGCUGCCCUGCCCUCGCCUGUGAUUCUAAAAUCAACACAACCAAAUCCACACUCGUCGCUGGCUUUCCCUGCCCUGCUGUGGAGCACAUGAACCCGGGGACGCAUUCGGCUUUCCUUUGAUAGGGGAAGGCAGCCCAAACAGCACCCAGACCAAGAGCCUGGAUCAGGGAUCCUGCUGCCUGAGACUUUCUAACUAGGCCAAGAAAUGAGGACACUGAACUACUUCUUCUUGAGAUGACGGAAUCUUGCAAGUUUAUUUAUUGUUUCCUGGGGGAGGAGACACAGUCUGUUGGAACUGGAAGUGAUGAGAGAUUGCCAUCCAAUUCCAUAGGAGGCCAAUGAGAGGUUACAUGAAGGGAGGACUCUACUGGUAGACAGUCCUAGAAACCCCAGGCUAAAGUGAAACUCAGUAAUUUUGUUUUUAAACUGCAGGUCCUCUCAGCGCAUUCAAUAUUUUGCUUGUUAUCAAUAAGGGGAUGUAGCAGCCACAUUUCCCAAUUUUUUUGGCCAUUUUUUUCCUCUGACAGCAUUUUUAGGACCCGUGUCCCCCUGAACACAUGGAGGGAUGGAGCAAUUGAAUGUCAUGCCCUGAUUUCACAGAUGGGGGCAGGGAGGCUCAGCAAGGAAAGUCAGGUGGAGCAGAGACCCAUUCCCUGCCCCUGCCUUGGGGCUCUUUUCGAAACUCUGCCCUGCUCACAUCUGCCCCAAGACACUCUGCCUCCAUGAAAGUGCAGGUUAUUUUACAGUUUGGAGGUGACACUGGACCCCUUGGAAAUCAGAGAAUGUGCACUUUCUUGGCAAAAUAUCCAAGGUAAGGGAGAGUAUAAAUGUGAAUGAGAAUGCUGAGUGUCGGAAGACAUUUGUUUUUUGUUUACAUCUAGGACCAGACCAGAGGGAGUGAGGUCUAUCUAUCCCACGAAGAAACUGAGAUGCAGCUUAUGAAAUAGAGGCUGACAAUGGCUCACCCACCUCCUUUGUAAGAGCCUGGUGUGUGCUACAGGAGCAUGGCCCAUAUACGUGUCAGGUUGAAGGACAACUCAGGAGCUGUCCAAGGCUCAACUUGGCCCCACUUGCCCCAUCUGGCAGCCUGGACCGAGCAUUGUUCAUUGAGUCCCACACCCACAUGGCCCCAGAGUCAAACCGCCUUUCAUGCUGAAGAAUGGAACUGACACUCCCAGCAACAUCUCCCCCAACCAUGCCCAUCUGUUAAUCCAACUUAAAAAGAAGGAAAAAAAAAUGACAAUGGAAAUGGAAA